AGCAUCUCAUGGGCUUUCCUGCCCUGAGUGGCUUUGAAUUGUGAUCUUCAGAUCUCAGCCUCAUGAGUAGCCUGGAUUAUAGGUGUGAGCCACCAGACAUCUUCAGAUUUGAAGGCAAAGCCAUCAGCUGUUAAUUGCCACAGACAUGGGAGCGUCAGCAGUGCACUGUUUGAAGGAGACAGAAAAUGUUUUCUAAAAGCCAGGCAUUGCAGAGGGCACCAACACAGUAGGGUUGUAUAGCAGCAUCAAAGCCUUGUGAACCCAGUGUGAUGACCUGUCUGUCCUGUUGACCUCUGGUACUGCUCAACUGCUUUGGGUCAAGUUUAGCUAAGUAGACGAACUCUCCAGAUGUCCUUGGAAAUAAGGAAACAUCAAGAGUACUCAUGUGAAAGCCAGUAAAAGGUUUCAUCAGGGUUGGGGUUUGCCAUCUCCAUGCAGAAAGUGACAGCAGCCAUGGCAUUGAGGGUAUUGGCCAGAGUAUCUUUGCAACGCUGAUAAAGAAUGGAAGUGAAUAAAGGAAAGAGCUGAUGGUUUGGUCAAAUAGCAGAGAGCACAUUGGUCAAAAUCAGCUUGUGGG